rnacentral:rRNA from 1 species
UACGUAGGGUGCAAGCGUUAAUCGGAAUUACUGGGCGUAAAGCGUGCGCAGGCGGUUUUGCAAGACAGAUGUGAAAUCCCCGGGCUUAACCUGGGAACUGCAUUUGUGACUGCAAGGCUAGAGUGUGUCAGAGGGAGGUGGAAUUCCGCGUGUAGCAGUGAAAUGCGUAGAGAUGCGGAGGAACACCGAUGGCGAAGGCAGCCUCCUGGGAUAACACUGACGCUCAUGACACGA